rnacentral:tRNA from 1 species
GACAUUUUAACUCAAUGGUAGAGUAAUGACAUGGUAAGGCAUAAGUCAUUGGUUCAAGUCUAAUAAAGGGCU